UUCGUGCGAUAGCUAAUGUGACAUGCAGACGCGGAUCAUUGAGACUUUGAACGCAAGAUGCGCAGGGAGAGAGAUCUUCCUGCAUGACUGUUUGGGCGGUGGAAUGUUGAAAGUUGGGUGGACAUUUGGAUGACACCUGAAAGAUGAUCUCUGAGAGGAGUGCACUAGCAACUACACAGUAGUUAUUACACUCACACUCACACACACUACUACACCCCCAAAUCAGUCAAGACUACCCGCUGAACUUAA
rnacentral:misc_RNA from 1 species